rnacentral:rRNA from 1 species
GACGAACGCUGGCGGCGUGCUUAACACAUGCAAGUCGAACGGAAAGGCCCUGCUUUUGUGGGGUGCUCGAGUGGCGAACGGGUGAGUAACACGUGAGUAACCUGCCCUUGACUUUGGGAUAACUUCAGGAAACUGGGGCUAAUACCGGAUAGGAGCUCCUGCUGCAUGGUGGGGGUUGGAAAGUUUCGGCGGUUGGGGAUGGACUCGCGGCUUGUCAGCUUGUUGGUGGGGUAGUGGCUUACCAAGGCUUUGACGGGUAGCCGGCCUGGGAGGGUGACCGGCCACAUUGGGACUGAGAUACGGCCCAGACUCCUACGGGAGGCAGGAGUGGGGAAUAUUGCACAAUGGGCGGAAGCCUGAUGCAGCAACGCCGCGUGCGGGAUGACGGCCUUCGGGUUGUAAACCGCUUUCGCCUGUGACGAAGCGUGAGUGACGGUAAUGGGUAAAGAAGCACCGCCUAACUACGU